GGGCGAGUUGACGCUCCAUUAUGCACACGCAUUGUACUCAGCCCCGCGAAUUCGCCCUUAGCCUGGCUCAGGAUGAACGCUAGCGGCAGGAGUAACACAUGCAAGUCGAGGGGCAGCAUAAUGGAUAGCAAUAUCUAUGGUGGCGACCGGCGGGUGCGUAACGCGUAUGCAACCUACCUUUAACAGGGGGAUAACACUGAGAAAUUGGUACGGGGACGGACAUAAUAUCAUAGAAGGCAUCUUGAAAAUUCCGAUGGUUAGAGAUGGGCAUGCGUUGUAUAGUUGGUGGGGUAACGGCUCACCAAGGCGAGGACUGAGAGGUUAACCCCCCACACUGGUAGACACGGACCAGACUCCUACGGGAGGCAGCAGUGAGGAAUAUUGGUCAAUGGACGCAAGUCUGAACCAGCCAUGCCGCGUGCAGGAUGACGGCUCUAUGAGUUGUAAACUGCUUUUGUACGAGGGUAAACGCAGAUACGUGUAUCUGUCUGAAAGAAUAAGGAUCGGCUAACUCCGUGCCAGCAGCCGCGGUAAUACGGAGGAUUCAAGCGUUAUCCGGAUAUAUUGGGUUUAAAGGGUGCGUAGGCGGUUUGAUAAUUUAGAGGUGAAAUUUCGGGGCUCAACCCUCAACGUGCCUCUAAUACUGUUGAGCUAGAGAGUAGUUGCGGUAGGCGGAAUGUAUGGUGUAGCGGUGAAAUGCUUAGAGAUCAUACAGAACAAUGCUUGCGAAGGCAGCUUACCAAACUAUAUCUGACGUUGAGGCACGAACAAAUAGAUUAGAUACCCUGGUAGUCCACGCAGUAAACGAUGAUAACUCGUUGUCGGCGAUACACAGUCGGUGACUAAGCGAAAGCGAUAAGUUAUCCACCUGGGGAGUACGUUCGCAAGAAUGAAACUCAAAGGAAUUGACGGGGCACAAGCGGAGGAACAUGUGGUUUAAUUCGAUGAUACCGCGAGGAACCUUACCCGGGCUUGAAAAGUUAGCGACGAUUCUUGAGGACCCUUCGGGGCGCGAAACUAGGUGCUGCAUGGUUGUCGUCAGCUCGUGCCAGUCCCAUAACGAGCGCAACCCCUACCGUUAGUUGCCAUCAGGUGAAGCUCGGCACUCUGGCGGGACUGCCGGUGUAAGCCGAGAGGAAGGUGGGGAUGACGUCAAAUCAGCACGGCCCUUACGUCCGGGGCUACACACGUGUUACAAUGGUAGGUACAGAGGGCAGCUACCCAGCGAUGGGCAUGAAUGCGAAUCUCGAAAGCCUAUCUCAGUUCGGAUUGGAGGCUGAAACCCGCCUCCAGAAGUUGGAUUCGCUAGUAAUCGCGCAUCAGCCAUGGCGCGGUGAAUACGUUCCCGGGCCUACACCGCCCGUCAAGCCAUGGGAGCCGGGGGUGCCUGAAGUUCGUGACCGCAAGGAGCGACCUAGGGCAAAACUGGUGAAAGGGUAGCCGUAAGGGCGAAUUCGUUCUUCAAGGAGGACUAG
rnacentral:rRNA from 1 species